rnacentral:rRNA from 1 species
UACGAAGGGGGCUAGCGUUGUUCGGAAUUACUGGGCGUAAAGCGCGCGUAGGCGGCUUUGUAAGUUAGAGGUGAAAGCCCGGGGCUCAACCCCGGAAUUGCCUUUAAGACUGCAUCGCUAGAAUCCGGGAGAGGUGAGUGGAAUUCCGAGUGUAGAGGUGAAAUUCGUAGAUAUUCGGAAGAACACCAGUGGCGAAGGCGGCUCACUGGACCGGUAUUGACGCUGAGGUGCGAAAGCGUGGGGAGCAAACAGG